CAUGUGUGAAUGUACUUGCAUGUAUGUGUGCAUGCGUGUACACACACACACACACACACACACACACACACACACACACACACACACACACACA
rnacentral:miRNA from 1 species